UACGUAGGGCGCAAGCGUUAUCCGGAAUUAUUGGGCGUAAAGAGCUCGUAGGCGGUUUGUCGCGUCUGCCGUGAAAGUCCGGGCUCAACUCCGGAUCUGCGGUGGGUACGGGCAGACUAGAGUGAUGUAGGGGAGACUGGAAUUCCUGGUGUAGCGGUGAAAUGCGCAGAUAUCAGGAGGAACACCGAUGGCGAAGGCAGGUCUCUGGGCAUUAACUGACGCUGAGGAGCGAAAAGCAUGGGGAGC
rnacentral:rRNA from 1 species